CAGGCUUAACACAUGCAAGUCGAGGGGCAGCAUGGUCUUAGCUUGCUAAGGCCGACGGCGACCGGCGCACGGGUGAGUAACACGUAUCCAACCUGCCGUCUACUCUUGGACAGCCUUCUGAAAGGAAGAUUAAUACAAGAUGGCAUCAUGAGUCCGCAUGUUCACAUGAUUAAAGGUAUUCCGGUAGACGAUGGGGAUGCGUUCCAUUAGAUAGUAGGCGGGGUAACGGCCCACCUAGUCUUCGAUGGAUAGGGGUUCUGAGAGGAAGGUCCCCCACAUUGGAACUGAGACACGGUCCAAACUCCUACGGGAGGCAGCAGUGAGGAAUAUUGGUCAAUGGGCGAGAGCCUGAACCAGCCAAGUAGCGUGAAGGAUGACUGCCCUAUGGGUUGUAAACUUCUUUUAUAAAGGAAUAAAGUCGGGUAUGGAUACCCGUUUGCAUGUACUUUAUGAAUAAGGAUCGGCUAACUCCGUGCCAGCAGCCGCGGUAAUACGGAGGAUCCGAGCGUUAUCCGGAUUUAUUGGGUUUAAAGGGAGCGUAGAUGGAUGUUUAAGUCAGUUGUGAAAGUUUGCGGCUCAACCGUAAAAUUGCAGUUGAUACUGGAUAUCUUGAGUGCAGUUGAGGCAGGCGGAAUUCGUGGUGUAGCGGUGAAAUGCUUAGAUAUCACGAAGAACUCCGAUUGCGAAGGCAGCCUGCUAAGCUGCAACUGACAUUGAGGCUCGAAAGUGUGGGUAUCAAACAGGAUUAGAUACCCUGGUAGUCCACACGGUAAACGAUGAAUACUCGCUGUUUGCGAUAUACUGCAAGCGGCCAAGCGAAAGCGUUAAGUAUUCCACCUGGGGAGUACGCCGGCAACGGUGAAACUCAAAGGAAUUGACGGGGGCCCGCACAAGCGGAGGAACAUGUGGUUUAAUUCGAUGAUACGCGAGGAACCUUACCCGGGCUUAAAUUGCAGAUGAAUUACGGUGAAAGCCGUAAGCCGCAAGGCAUCUGUGAAGGUGCUGCAUGGUUGUCGUCAGCUCGUGCCGUGAGGUGUCGGCUUAAGUGCCAUAACGAGCGCAACCCUUGUUGUCAGUUACUAACAGGUUCCGCUGAGGACUCUGACAAGACUGCCAUCGUAAGAUGUGAGGAAGGUGGGGAUGACGUCAAAUCAGCACGGCCCUUACGUCCGGGGCUACACACGUGUUACAAUGGGGGGUACAGAGGGUCGCUACCACGCGAGUGGAUGCCAAUCCCCAAAACCUCUCUCAGUUCGGACUGGAGUCUGCAACCCGACUCCACGAAGCUGGAUUCGCUAGUAAUCGCGCAUCAGCCACGGCGCGGUGAAUACGUUCCCGGGCCUUGUACACACCGCCCGUCAAGCCAUGGGAGCCGGGGGUACCUGAAGUGCGUAACCGCGAGGAGCGCCCUAGGGUAAAACUGGUGACUGGGGCUAAGUCAUAAC
rnacentral:rRNA from 1 species